UAUGGCUCAGUUGGUAGAGUAUGGCGCUUGCAUCGUCAGGGUUGUGGGUUUGAUUCCCAGUA
rnacentral:tRNA from 1 species